rnacentral:rRNA from 1 species
GACGAACGCUGGCGGCGUGCUUAACACAUGCAAGUCGAACGGUAAGGCCCCUUCGGGGGUACACGAGUGGCGAACGGGUGAGUAACACGUGAGCAACCUGCCCCUGACUCUGGAAUAACAGUUGGAAACAGCUGCUAAUACUGGAUAUUCAUCGUCUCCUUCCUGGGGGGUGGUGGAAAGCUCCGGCGGUCAGGGAUGGGCUCGCGGCCUAUCAGCUUGUUGGUGAGGUAAUGGCUCACCAAGGCUUCGACGGGUAGCCGGCCUGAGAGGGCGACCGGCCACACUGGGACUGAGAUACGGCCCAGACUCCUACGGGAGGCAGCAGUGGGGAAUAUUGCACAAUGGGCGCAAGCCUGAUGCAGCAACGCCGCGUGCGGGAUGACGGCCUUCGGGUUGUAAACCGCUUUCAGUAGGGACGAAGGGUGACUGACGGUACCUACAGAAGAAGGACCGGCUAACUACGUG